rnacentral:rRNA from 1 species
CCUACGGGGGGCUGCAGUGAGGAAUAUUGGUCAAUGGGCGCGAGCCUGAACCAGCCAAGUCGCGUGAGGGAAGACGGUCCUAUGGAUUGUAAACCUCUUUUGUCGGGGAGCAAAAGACGCCACGUGUGGCGUUCCGAGAGUACCCGAAGAAAAAGCAUCGGCUAACUCCGUGCCAGCAGCCGCGGUAAUACGGAGGAUGCGAGCGUUAUCCGGAUUUAUUGGGUUUAAAGGGUGCGCAGGCGGGAGAUAAAGGCAGCGGUAAAAUGGCGGGGCUCAACCCCGGCCGGGCGUUGAAACUGGGUUUCUAGAGUUGGAGAGAAGGAUGCGGAAUUCGUGGGUGAGCGGUGAAAUGCAUAGAU